CACGUAGUUAGCCGGGGCUUCUUGGUCAGGUACCGUCCGGCUGCCCCUUCCGGGGCAGUUUGUCUUCCCUGCUGAUAGAGCUUUACGCGCCGAAACGCUCCUUCACUCACGCGGCGUCGCUGCAUCAGGGUUUCCCCCAUUGUCCAAUAUUCCCACUGCUGCCUCCCGUAGGAGUUUGGGCCGUGUCUCAGUCCCAAUGUGGCCGUCCACCCUCUCAGGCCGGCUACUGAUCGUCGCCUUGGUGGCCGUUACCCCGCCAACAAGCUAAUCAGACGCGGGUCCAUCAUAUACCACCGGAGUUUUUCACACUGAGCCAUGCAGCUCCGUGCGCUUAUGCGGUAUUAGCACCUAUUUCUAAGUGUUAUCCCCCUGUAUAUGGCAGGUUACCCACGCGUUACUCACCCGUCCGCCACUAAGUUAUGAACUGUUCGUCACCAGCAAGCUGACUCCUCACACUUCAUAACCCCGUUCGACUUGCAUGUGUUAAGCACGCCGCCAGCGUUCAUCC
rnacentral:rRNA from 1 species